UACCCGCAGCACAAGUGGUGGUCAUUAUUAUUGGGCCUAAAGCGUCCGUAGCUGGCUUGUUAGAUGCCUGGGUAAAUCGAUGCGCUCAACGUAUCGACUUCCGGGUAGACCGGCAAGCUCGAGACCGGGAGAGGUGUAGGCUACUCGAGGGGUAGGGGUAAAAUCCUGUAAUCCUUCGGGGAGGACCAGUGGCGAAAGCGCUACACUAGAACGGCUCUGACAGUGAGGGACGAAGCCCUGGGGCGCAAACCGG
rnacentral:rRNA from 1 species